rnacentral:rRNA from 1 species
UACCCAAAUGCUAGCUCACAUACUAAAUUCAAAUUAAAAUUAAAAAUAACCCCGGACACCCUAAGAAACAAUCUUAAAACAUUCUACGCCCAAGUAAGGGAGACUAAAAAGGAAUAUUGAAGCUAUAAAAUUAGUACCGCAAGGGAAAGCUGAAAAAGAAAUUAAAAAAUUAACCUAAGUUAAUAAUAGCAAAGAUUAAAUCUUGUACCUUUUGCAUCAUGGUUUAACAAGACAAUUCAAGCAAAGAGAUCUUUAGUUUGUUAUCCCGAAACUAAGCGAGCUACUCCGAGACAGUCAAGACAAAUGGACAAACCCGUACCUGUGGCAAAAGGUUGGGGUGAGCUCUGAGUAGAGGUGAUAAACCAAGCGAGCUUAGUUAUAGCUGGUUGCCUGAAAAAUGAAUAAAAGUUCAGCCUAUAUUACCCCCUAAACCAAUUUAAGUUUAAACAAAUAGACUUAGUUAAUAGUAGUAUAGAGUUAGUCAAAAGGGGUACAGCUCUUUUGACACAGGACACAACCUUAAUUUAAGGAGGUUAAAGAUCAAAACAACAAAGUAUACAUGCCUUUGUGGGCCUGAAAGCAGCCACCAAAUAGAAAGCGUUAAAGCUCAAGCACUAAAAUUACUUUAAUUCAGAUAAAUGUUCUUAAACCCCUAUUCACAUCAGGCCUUUUCAUAACACAUGAAAAUGAUAAUGUUAAUAUGAGUAAUAAGAGAAGUUAAAGAUUCUCUCCUUUGGCAAAAGUGUGUUUCGGACCGAACUGACACCGAAAAUUAAUGACCCCUACAAUAUAAGAGGGAAAUGUUGUAAAAACAAAUAACAAGAAAAAACAACAAUUAAAAAUCAUCAACCCCACACCGGUUUGCUAACUAGGAUAAACUAAAAGGGUGAGAAGGAACUCGGCAAAAAUUAAAAAUACUAGCCUCGCCUGUUUACCAAAAACACCGCCUCUUGCAUAUAUAAGAAUAAGAGGUCCCGCCUGCCCUGUGACCGCAAGUUUAACGGCCGCGGUAUUUUGACCGUGCAAAGGUAGCGCAAUCACUUGUCUUUUAAAUAAAGACCCGUAUGAAUGGCAUAACGAGGGCUAAACUGUCUCCUUACCCAGGUUAAUGAAAUUGAUCUUUCCGUGCAGAAGCGGGAAUUACACCAUAAGACGAGAAGACCCUGUGGAGCUUUAGAUGAAUAAAUGAAUUUAUUUAACAUAAGCCCCCUAAAAGGCAACAAGCCAGUAACCUCAUUUUAAUAUCUUUAGUUGGGGCGACCGCGGAGUAAAACAAAACCUCCGUGAGGAUUGAGGUAAAACCUUAUACCUAAGAAAGUCAUUUCUAAGCACCAAAAUAUUUGACCUAAAGAUCCGGCAAUAGCCGAUCAACGAACCUAGUUACCCCAGGGAUAACAGCGCAAUCCUCUUUGAGAGUCCCUAUCGACAAGGGGGUUUACGACCUCGAUGUUGGAUCAGGACAUCCUAAUGGUGUAGCCGCUAUUAAGGGUUCGUUUGUUCAACGAUUAAAGUCCUACGUGAUCUGAGUUCAGACCGGAGUAAUCCAGGUCAGUUUCUAUCUAUGACGUGACCUUCUUCAGUACGAAAGGACCGAGAAGGGUGGGCCUAUGUUUUAAAACAAGCCCCCUUUUUAACCCUUGAAAAAAUAUUAAAGGUUAAAACAACACAAAAUAAAAGAGAACAUAACUACAU